UACGCCACGAGCAACACUUGAUUCAAUUAGAAAAAGCUUUUUUUAAAUGCCUCGCGUGACGUCUGGUAUAUUAACUGAAAAAAUUGCUUUGAAGUGCCACACCUAAAAGCUGACGUUUUCAGAAGAGCACCUUGUUUUAAGAUCUCAUUUUGUCCAAAAUUGCGUCCUAUGACAGAUAUAAUACUUAUUUCAUUAUUGCUCUGUGUAUGUGUGACCUUAAUCAUUUGAGGUUGUGUGUUGAUUUCACCUCUGAAUAUUUCCUCUUAUAGGUCCAUCAUCCUUGCACACACUCAAAAGCAUUGAUAAAUGCUGAAUUUAAAAGAAUCACUACUGUCUUAUGUUCCUGCGUGUCACCUGGACCUCCAAUCCAAAAACCUGACGAAACUCUUCUAUCAGAAAGGAGGACAGCUAGCAAAAAGACUUCAAACAAUGAAUGAUCAAAUGACAGAAGGCAUGGAUGAAGUCAGCAUCAGCGAGGUCAUUUAAAGACACCACUGUUGGGAUUUGUGCUCUCAAACAACAUGCUUCUUGUGAUGAAGAAGAGGAUCUUUGUAUAGUCCUGGAAGGCAUGAAGGUGUUGCAACAUCGUGCCACGUUGUUUGAGCUGAUGUAUGCCUUAAACCUGAACUAUCCUGAUCUCUGCUUUAUUUUUGAGGAAAUCCAAAAGAUUUUAAUGGAACUGCAUUGAGCGUAACUUUAACGAACAGUUUCUUUCAGUGAAAGGAUCAGAAAGACUGUGCUGCUCAUUUAUGUUCUUUCUAUUUAUCUGUUUUAAGUGUUUUUUCUUAUUAAAACAUUAACAGUUUGCUGCUCAGAGUUGAUUUUGGAAAUGGUUGUUGUAUUUUGUUUUUGUUGAAUCUUUGAUUAUCAGUUUAUACAAAUGCUGUAGCUUCUGAAGGAU